UUGGCUUGAUCUUCACAUUUUUCAUUAAUAGCCCAGAAGAGGGAGUAAACAACGUGUUUAUGGAAUUUAGAUGUCAAAAUGAGGAGAAUUGUGGAUGUCAGAGCUAGAAGAGAGAAGAUUGCUGCCCACAGUGAGCCUGGACCAGGAGCGUCAAUCAGAACCUGCAACUCUCCAACCCAAAGUGCUGGAUGUGGAUUAGGAAAAUCAGAAAAGUGAAUUGUUUCAAAGGCUCAGCUGAUCUCAGAGAUGCUUCCGCUCUGAGCUGUGAACUCAACCUGACCAAGAUCAAAACCUGAGAUGUUCACAUCUGGAGCAGAGCUUUUGAGACGCCUUACCUGAGAGCAGGGGCUGAUCCAAGCCCUUCUCCAAACUCUUCCCCAGUGCUGUUCCUGGCUGGUGCCUGCAGCAGUUCUACAAGGUGAAAGGUGCAACAAUAAAGCUUUAAAAAUACCAGAGAAAUGAGAAUUAGCAGCAUCAGCAUCACCAGAACUUGCCAUAACAACUUUCACCAGAAGUUCGUCUGGAAAACUGACAAAAUUCACUUCAGCUCUGCUCUGAGGAGGGGUUUGAUCAUCCAAGUGAGGCACUGACUUGUGCAAGCCCUUAAAAUAAA